UCCCUGGUAGCUUAGUGGUUAAAGCAUCUGCCUGCAAUGAGGGAGACCCAGGUUCGAUCUCUGGGUUGGGAA
rnacentral:tRNA from 1 species